ensembl:lncRNA
AUGGGGAUGGGGAUGGGGAUGGGGAUGGGGGGGGGAUUUGGGGACAUGAAGCAAAGAUGGGUUUUAAAUUAAGAUGAGCAGAGGCAACCCCUGGGCUCUGCAGCCCGGGUUGGGGUCAGGGUUGGGGUGCUGUGUUGGGGAUGGGGGGGCUUUGGGGUGGCUUUGGGGGUAUCUCCCAGCAGUGCUUCCCGUGGGGGGGGGGGUUGGGGAUAAAAGUGGGGCUUCAAAGUAAUGGGUUUGGCCCAAAAUGAAGCUCAGAGCAGAAAUCGCCCCCAUGGGGCCCGAUGGGACCGGGAUGGGGGGGGUAUGGGGUGGGGGGGGGGACAUUGGGGGCUCUGGGGUCCUUCGGCACAGUGGGGACGGGCGGUUGUGGGGCCGUUGGGGCUGCUGGGGCUCCCGCUUGGAUUCUGCUCUAUGUUUUAUCCACAAGGAAAGCAUCCCCAGCCCUAAUGUGUCUGGGCACGAACCGACACGUCCCUGACAAAUUACGAGGCGUAAUUAAUUCGGCCAUUAAUGAAUCAGCAUCUUUACGGUAACAGGGCCAUUAAAUACCCGCAGGACGGACACCUCGAGGGCCGGCGCCGAUCCCACGGCACCAGCAGUGACAGAGACACGGGCCCCCCAUAUAAUGAAGCCAUCCGCAUUCCUGCAUGGCUCAGCUCGGAUGACGGAUGGCCGCUCCCCGUUCGCUCCCGGUUGGCGCAGCGCUCUUCUCUCCCCCCCCCCCCCCCCCCCCGCCUCGACCCCCCCCCCCUCCCACCCCCGCGUUCUCAUCUGUCAAAGCGGCUCCGGAUCCGCUGCUCGGCGUUAAUGACGGCGGAGCGAUGGAGCGGGGCGGGGGGGGUGAAAGGGUCACGGCUGUCCUCGGGCAGUGUGGGGUGAAAAGGGCACGGGGGGGGGGAUGGGGGGGGGGGGCAAGGAGGGGUCGGGACGGACCGCUGCUGUGACCUGCCAGGACCUGCGGCCGGGGGGACCCCCCCCGGGGAUGCUCGUUUUGGUCUCAGACCGCUCCUGGGGGGGCUCAGAUCGCUCCUGGGGGGGGCUCAGAUCGCUGCUGUGACCUGCCAGGACCUGCGGCCGGGGGGGAUCCCCCCGGGGAUGCUCAUUUUGGGGGCAGAAAUUGGUGGGUUUGGGGUUGUUUUUUUACUGGGGGGGGUUAACACUCAAUGGGGUUUCCCAAUCCAUCCGUCCAUCCCCCGUCCCCCCUCUGUGCUUCCCUGGGGGAAAAGGGGAAUGGGACCCCCAGAGCCCCCCUAGACCUACAGCACUGUAUGGGUAUGCACCCUAUGGGGGCCACAAAUGGACCCUAUAGGCACCCAUAUACCCACACUGAGAAGCCUACGGACCCCAUAGGGGCCACAUAUGGACCCUAUAGGCACCCAUAUACCCACACUGAGAAGCCUACGGACCCUAUAGGGACCACAUAUGGACCCUAUAGGCACCCAUAUACCCACACUGAGAAGCCUACGGACCCUAUAGGGACCACAUAUGGCCCAUAUGCAAACCCCACCCCCAGCUCUGCCCACAGCACUGGAAAUAAGACGACAUAUAGGGCUGUAUGUAAAUAAAAACCCCAUACGCUCAGCUCUGCACACGUACCUAUAGGCCUAUCCGUGCCCCAUAUGUGCUACGCCAACAGGGCCAUAUACACUAUAGGAGCAAUAGGGCCCCAUAGGCACCUGCACCCCACUCCAGGUCCCUCUAUGUCUAUAGACAGCGGUGGGGGGGGGGGGCUCAGAUCGCUCCUGGGGGGCUCAGGUUGGACUGUGGGGCUGAGACCACUACUGGGGGGGGGGGGAGAUUGGUCUGCGGGGGCUCAGUUUGAUCUGGGGGGGCUCCAACCACUCUUGGGGGGCUCAGAUGGGUCUGGGGGGGCUCAGACAUAUCCUGGGGGGGUUCAGGUCGGUCAGGGGGUCUCAGAUCAUUUCUGGGGUUCAGGUUUGUCUUGGAGGGUUCAGACCUCUGCUGGGGGGG